rnacentral:rRNA from 1 species
UACUACCGAAGCUACGGCAUCAGUAAUGAUGGGUAGGGGAGCUUCCCAUACGGGUUGAAGCAUGACCGUAAGGACAUGUGGACAGGAUGGGAGUGAGAAUGUUGGCAUGAGUAGCGAGAUGUGGGUGAGAAUCCCACAGGCCGUAAACCCAAGGUUUCCAGGGGAAGGUUCGUCCGCCCUGGGUUAGUCGGGACCUAAGCUGAGGCCGAAAGGCGUAGGUGAUGGACAACAGGUUGAUAUUCCUGUACUACCGAU